rnacentral:lncRNA from 1 species
GGUGAGGCUGGGAGAAGGCCAUAUCCGAGAAUGAGGAAGAAACAGUAGGACAAUGGGAAAGUGGGUCCCCAGCGAGGAGAACGUUGGCCGUGGGACGGGCAGAACCGAGGGGAGGGCGGGAGCGAAUCUCAAAAAGCCUGGACGUUUUGCCCGCUUCCGGCGACAGAAAUUGUCGGGUUCAGUGGGGGUUUAAAAUCAGAAGUUCCUUCUGGGGCCGCUGUGACCCGUGUACUUUGGGGUCUAAGGAGAGGACUCCGUGUUUCCCACGACCUCCGGGCACCCUCGCCGGUGAGUCCCCAGUUCCGCCCGCCCCCACCUGAGGAGCAAGGGCCAGGGCGGGUCAGGCGUCCCUGCGGCCUCCGCGGGCCCAGAGAGGGAAUGGCUCCCCCAGGAACUGGGACCUCGCCACAGUGCCCCCCGGGGCCUU